AGUGAACGCUGGCGGUAGGCCUAACACAUGCAAGUCGAACGGCAGCACAGUAAAAGCUUGCUCUUACGGGAGGCGAGUGGCGGACGGGUGAGGUAUACAUCGGAAUCUACUUUUUCGUGGGGGAUAACGUAGGGAAACUUACGCUAAUACCGCAUACGACCUACGGGUGAAAGCAGGGGAUCUUCGGACCUUGCGCGAUUGAAUGAGCCGAUGUCGGAUUAGCUAGUUGGCGGGGUAAAGUCCCACCAAGGCGACGAUCCGUAGCUGGUCUGAGAGGAUGAUCAGCCACACUGGAACUGAGACACGGUCCAGACUCCUACGGGAGGCAGCAGUGGGGAAUAUUGGACAAUGGGCGCAAGCCUGAUCCAGCCAUACCGCGUGGGUGAAGAAGGCCUUCGGGUUGUAAAGCCCUUUUGUUGGGAAAGAAAAGCAGCAGGUUAAUACCCCGCUGUUCUGACGGUACCCAAAGAAUAAGCACCGGCUAACUUCGUG
rnacentral:rRNA from 1 species